AGUUAGGUCAUGAGGCUUUGGCCUUGACACCAAGGGAUGCUGUCUCCCUGCCGGAAGCAGCUCACCAAAGCCGGCAGAGAACCCAGGUUCCGUGGGGCCACGAUGUGGGCCUCCGCGGGCGCCCCGGCGCUGGCCGACUUCCUGUCUCCUGGGUCAGAUGCUGCUCCGCACUGCAGCUAUGGUCGCAUGCAGUGCCUGCCGAAGCCCGCAGCAGGAAUGCUGCCUUCGGUGAUUUUAAUUUCACUUUUCUACUUCUCUCAAUAACAAAAUCCGCGUUUCAAACUCCAGGGAAAAGAAAACGGAAUUGGCUCCAGGAGGAUCUGCAAUCACCACCGGGAACUUUGGGAGGCUGGGAAGAUGGAGCCAAACCAAUGUGUGGGGUGGAGGUGCGGAUCUGGGGCGCCCGGCCUCUCCUACAGGUCUCAGGUCCGCAGGCCUGGCGUGCCAGCACCUGCCACGGGACUGGAAGCCCAUUCCUUGACAACGCCUAAGGGGAUCCCGUUGCUAGGGCUGUUGCCAAGGCGGGGCCACGAGGAGGGGCUCGCUUCCGGGAGGACGGCAAUUGGCAACCCGGAAGCGGUCGGUAGUGCGGCGCUGUUUAAAGAUGGCGGCGGAGGAACCUCAGCAGCAGAAGCAGGAGCCGCUGGGCAGCGACUCCGAAGGUGUUAACUGUCUGGCCUAUGAUGAAGCCAUCAUGGCUCAGCAGGACCGAAUUCAGCAAGAGAUUGCUGUGCAGAACCCUCUGGUGUCAGAGCGGCUGGAGCUCUCGGUCCUAUACAAGGAGUAUGCUGAAGAUGACAACAUCUAUCAACAGAAGAUCAAGGACCUCCACAAAAAGUACUCGUACAUCCGCAAGACCAGGCCUGACGGCAACUGUUUCUAUCGGGCUUUUGGAUUCUCCCACUUGGAGGCACUGCUGGAUGACAGCAAGGAGUUGCAGCGGUGAGAAGGGUGGGCACUGGGCACCGAGGCAGGUGGGUGUCUACCUCCUCCCCAGGCGAGUAGGAUGUGUCUCGAGUAGGUGUCUCCCUCCUUCCCGGGCGAUCGGCUGGACUCUGGCCUUGCCAGGCGGGGCGGUGCUGUCUGGGCCCUGGCGUCUGGGCUGGUCGAGGAGCCCAUGCUGGGCCCGCCUUUCCAUCCCACCCCCAGGUUCAAGGCUGUGUCUGCCAAGAGCAAGGAAGACCUGGUGUCCCAGGGCUUCACUGAAUUCACAAUUGAGGAUUUCCACAACACGUUCAUGGACCUGAUUGAGCAGGUGGAGAAGCAGACCUCUGUCGCUGACCUGCUGGCCUCCUUCAAUGACCAGAGCACCUCCGACUAUCUUGUGGUCUACCUGCGGCUGCUCACCUCGGGCUACCUGCAGCGCGAGAGCAAGUUCUUCGAGCACUUCAUCGAAGGUGGACGGACUGUCAAGGAGUUCUGCCAGCAGGAGGUGGAGCCCAUGUGCAAGGAGAGCGACCACAUCCACAUCAUUGCGCUGGCGCAGGCCCUCAGCGUGUCCAUCCAGGUGGAGUACAUGGACCGCGGCGAGGGCGGCACCACCAAUCCGCACAUCUUCCCCGAGGGCUCCGAGCCCAAGGUCUACCUUCUCUACCGGCCUGGACACUACGAUAUCCUCUACAAAUAGGGCUGGCUCCAGCCCGCUGCUGCCCUGCUGCCCCCCUCUGCCAGGCGCUAGACAUGUACAGAGGUUUUUCUGUGGUUGUAAAUGGUCCUAUUUCACCCCCUUCUUCCUGUCACAUGACCCCCCAUGUUUUAUUAAAGGGGGUGCUGGUGGUGAGCCGUGUGUGCGUGUCCCUGCUCUGCUGCCCGCCUGGCUGCUCUGUCUGCUGCCCCCUCCCCCCAGGUGGGUCCCCCUGCUUUUCACCUAUCUACUCCUGAGCUUCCCCAACAGGAGCAGGUUUGAGGGGCCAGGCCUCUUGGAGGCCCCUCCUGCUUCGUUGGGUUCUGCUUCCUUCCCUUCUUAGCUGGCUCAGGGGCUUCUAUGGGAUCCUGGAAGUUCCUUAGGGACUUGCCCAGGGUCCCAGGGCCACCCACACUUCAUCUGCUCCCUCAUAGGCCCCACCUCCACGUCCCGGCUGGGCCCCAGACCCCAGCUUCCUGCCCUCCACCGGGAGUCUGCAUGGUUGGGAGUCCUAGGUGGAGGGGCCUUUGUGAGGCUGGACCCGGCUCAGGGCAGGUGGAGGAGCUGGGCCUCCCACAGGGUGCCCGGGCAGUGCCAUCCUGGUGGGGGAGGGCAGCCUUCAAACGUGUGGGGUCCACAGUCCUCAGGUCUAGGCAGGGCUGCCAGUUCUCCACCUCCCCAUCCGCCCCAGGCCCCCUGCCUGUGCCUGCCUUGCACCCCCUCUGCUUGGGCCACAGUGUCUCUGCAUUGCCUGCCUUUUUGCCUUCACCUCUUUUCUUCCCCGCCCCCUGCACAUUCGGGGUCUCAGCCCCCAGGCUGUGAGCUCCUUGGGGGCAGGCCCUCAAUAAAUGUGAACUGCUGCUGC
rnacentral:sRNA from 1 species